GCGGCGGACGGGUGAGUAAUGCCUAGGAAUCUGCCUAGUAGUGGGGGAUAACUUGCCGAAAGGUAAGCUAAUACCGCAUACGUCCUACGGGAGAAAGCAGGGGACUCUUCGGAGCCUUGCGCUAUUAGAUGAGCCAAGGUCGGAUUAGUUAGUUGGUGAGGUAAUGGCUCACCAAGACUGCGAUCCGUAACUGGUCUGAGAGGAUGAUCAGUCACACUGGAACUGAGACACGGUCCAGACUCCUACGGGAGGCAGCAGUGGGGAAUAUUGGACAAUGGGGGAAACCCUGAUCCAGCCAUGCCGCGUGUGUGAAGAAGGUCUUAGGAUUGUAAAGCACUUUAAGUUGGGAGGAAGGGCAGUUAACUAAUACUUGACUGUUUUGACGUUACCGACAGAAUAAGCACCGGCUAACUUCGUGCCAGCAGCCGCGGUAAUACGAAGGGUGCAAGCGUUAAUCGGAAUUACUGGGCGUAAAGCGCGCGUAGGUGGUUCGUUAAGUUAGGAGUGAAAGCCCCGG
rnacentral:rRNA from 1 species